rnacentral:rRNA from 1 species
GAUGAACGCUGGCGGCGUGCCUAAUACAUGCAAGUCGAGCGAACGGACGAGAAGCUUGCUUCUCUGAUGUUAGCGGCGGACGGGUGAGUAACACGUGGAUAACCUACCUAUAAGACUGGGAUAACUUCGGGAAACCGGAGCUAAUACCGGAUAAUAUUUUGAACCGCAUGGUUCAAAAGUGAAGGACGGUCUUGCUGUCACUUAUAGAUGGAUCAGCGCUGCAUUAGCUAGUUGGUAAGGUAACGGCUUACCAAGGCAACGAUGCAUAGCCGACCUGAGAGGGUGAUCGGCCACACUGGAACUGAGACACGGUCCAGACUCCUACGGGAGGCAGCAGUAGGGAAUCUUCCGCAAUGGGCGAAAGCCUGACGGAGCAACGCCGCGUGAGUGAUGAAGGUCUUCGGAUCGUAAAACUCUGUUAUUAGGGAAGAACAUAUGUGUAAGUAACUGUGCACAUCUUGACGGUACCUAAUCAGAAAGCCACGGCUAACUACGUG